GCGCGGGUGGCGAAAUGGUAGACGCGCAUGCUUGAGGGGCAUGUGAGGAGACUCAUGUGGGUUCAAGUCCCACCUCGCGCA
rnacentral:tRNA from 1 species